rnacentral:rRNA from 1 species
UGGGGAAUAUUGCACAAUGGGCGCAAGCCUGAUGCAGCCAUGCCGCGUGUGUGAAGAAGGCCUUCGGGUUGUAAAGCACUUUCAGCGGGGAGGAAGGCGUUAAGGUUAAUAACCUUGGCGAUUGACGUUACCCGCAGAAGAAGCACCGGCUAACUCCGUGCCAGCAGCCGCGGUAAUACGGAGGGUGCAAGCGUUAAUCGGAAUUACUGGGCGUAAAGCGCACGCAGGCGGUCUGUCAAGUCGGAUGUGAAAUCCCCGGGCUCAACCUGGGAACUGCAUGCGAAACUGGCAGGCUAGAGGCUUGGAGAGGGGGGUAGAAUUCCAGGUGUAGCGGUGAAAGGCGUAGAGAUCUGGAGGAAUACCGGUGGCGAAGGCGGCCCCCUGGACAAAGACGGACGCUCAGGUGCGAAAGCGUGGGGAGCAAACAGG